rfam:Ictidomys tridecemlineatus contig037295, whole genome shotgun sequence.
UGGGAUGCAGCUCAAUUGGUAGAGUGCUUGGCUUGCAUGCACAAGGCUCUGGGUUCUAUCCCCAGCACCACAA